GAUGAACGCUAGCGGUAUGCUUAACACAUGCAAGUCGUACGGAAAAGCAAUUUUUAGUGGCGAACGGGUGAGUAACACGUGAGAAUCUGCCUUUAGGAAGAGGAUAACUUAUAGAAAUAUAUGCUAAAACUCUAUAUGCCGUUUGGUGAAAAAAGAAAUUUGCCUAAAGAGGAGCUCGCGUCUGAUUAGCUAGUUGGUAAGGUAAUGGCUUACCAAGGCGACGAUCAGUAGCUGGUCUGAGAGGACGAUCAGCCACACUGGAACUGAGACACGGUCCAGACUCCUACGGGAGGCAGCAGUGAGGAAUUUUCUGCAAUGGACGAAAGUCUGACAGAGCAAUACCGCGUGAGGGAUGAAGGCCUACGGGUUGUAAACCUCUUUUCUCAAGGAGGAAGAUCUGACGUUACUUG
rnacentral:rRNA from 1 species